UUUGAUCCUGGCUCAGGAUGAACGCUGGCGGCGUGCCUAAUACAUGCAAGUCGAGCGAACAGAUGAGAAGCUUGCUUCUCUGAUGUUAGCGGCGGACGGGUGAGUAACACGUGGGUAACCUACCUAUAAGACUGGGAUAACUCCGGGAAACCGGGGCUAAUACCGGAUAAUAUAUUGAACCGCAUGGUUCAAUGUUGAAAGACGGUUUCGGCUGUCACUUAUAGAUGGACCCGCGCCGUAUUAGCUAGUUGGUAAGGUAACGGCUUACCAAGGCAACGAUACGUAGCCGACCUGAGAGGGUGAUCGGCCACACUGGAACUGAGACACGGUCCAGACUCCUACGGGAGGCAGCAGUAGGGAAUCUUCCGCAAUGGGCGAAAGCCUGACGGAGCAACGCCGCGUGAGUGAUGAAGGUCUUAGGAUCGUAAAACUCUGUUGUUAGGGAAGAACAAAUUUGUUAGUAACUGAACAAGUCUUGACGGUACCUAACCAGAA
rnacentral:rRNA from 2 species